rnacentral:lncRNA from 1 species
AUCUUAUUAAUCUAGUUCUUGCCAGUUCUUUUUGAACUUCUUGUUAGAUCUCGAACCUGUAUUUCUGUGUCCGUGACACUUCACUUGGGAGAGGGAUCAUUGGUUACUUUAAACAAGACUAGAUAAUAACCUCUUUUGUUGGAUAUUAAUUUGCAAGUAUCAAUCUACAAAUAAUCUUACUUCUAUUAAAAUUAAUAAAUUAUAGUCAAAGUUCAUGUUAAGAGGAAUUUUGUACCAAAUAUUAGUUUGAAUUGGACUAUGUAUAACUUAGCUUUAAUAGAGGUUGCAAAUAUGAAGAUUAAAUCAAAACAAU